UUUAAUUUUGUUUAACAAUUAAUGUGUACUAUUUUUCCACCAACAACAGGCAAGCUAAGAGCCAAAUCAUGAAUGAACUACCAUUCACAACUGCCACAAAAGAAUAGAAUAUCUAGGAAUACAUCUAACAAUGGAAGUGAAGGACCUUUUUGAGAAGAACUACAAACCACUGCUCAGAGAAAUCUGAGAGGACACAAACAAGUGGGAAAGCAUUCCAUGCUCAUGGAUAGGAAGAAUCAAUAUCAUGAAAAUGGCCAUGUUGCUCAAAGCAAUUUAUGGAUUCAAUGCUGUUCCCAUUAAACUACUAUUGAGAUUCUUCAUAGAAUUAGAAAAAACUUUUAAAAUUCAUAUGGGGCUGGGUGCAGUGGCUCAUGCCUGUAAUCCCAACACUUUGGAAGGCCAAGGUGGGAGGAUCACUUGAGUUCAGGGGUUCAAGACCAGCAUGGCCAACAUGGUGAUACCUCAUCUCUACUGAAAAUACAAAAAUUAGCUGGGCAUGAUGGCUGGCAUCUGUAAUCCCAGCUACUCAGGAGGCUGAGACAUGAGAAUCGCUUGAACCCGGGAGGUGGAGGUUGCAGUGAGCCAGGAGCACACCACUGCACUCCAGCCUGGGUGACAGAGUGAGAGUCAGACUCUCAGACUCAAAAAAAAAAAAAAAAAACAAAACACUCACAUGGAACCCAAAAAGAGCCUGAGUAGCCAAGACAAUCCUAAGAAAACAAACAAACAAACAAACCAAAGCUGGAGGCCUCUUCAAAUUAUUCCACAAGACUACAGUAACUAAAAAAGCAUGGUACUGGUACAAGAACAGACACAGAGACCAAUGGAACAGAAUAGGGAACCCACAAAUAAGACUGCACACCUACAAUCAUCUGAUCUUCAGCCAAGUCAACAAUAACAAGCAAUGGAAAAAGGAUUCCCUAUUUAAUAAACCAUGCUGGGAGAACUGGGUAGUCAUAUGGAAAAAAUGGAAACUUCCUUACAUUAUGUGCAAAAAUCAACUCAAGAUGGAUUAAAGAACCCAAAACUAUGAAAACUCCAGACAAAAAUCUAGGCAAUACCAUUCAGGACAUAGGACACCGGGGCCUGUUGUGAGGUGGGGGGAGUGGGGAGGGAUAGCAUUAGGAGAUAUACCUAAUGUUAAAUGACGAGUUACUGGGUGCAGCACACCAACAUGGCACAUGUAUACAUAUGUAACUAACCUGCACGUUGUGCACAUGUACCCUAAAACUUAAAGUAUAAUAAUAAAAAAAUUAAAAAAAAAAGACGCCAAAAGCAAUUGCAACAAAAGCAGAAAUUGACAAAUGGGAUCUAAUUAAACUAAAGAGCUUCUCUGCACAACAAAAGAAACUAUUAUCAGCAUGAAUAGACAACCUACAGAAUAGGAGAAAAUUUUUGCAAUCUAUCCAUUUGACAAAGGCCUAAUAUCCAGCAUCUACAAGGAAUUUAAAUUUACAAGAAAAACAACUCCAUUAAAAAGGAGGCAAAGGACAUGGAUAAAUAUUUCUCAAAGGAAGACAUACAUGUGGCCAAAAAACACAUGAAAAAGCUCAACAUCAGUAAUCAUUAGAGAAAUGCAAAUCAAUACCACAGUGAGAUACCAUCUCAUGCCAGUCAGAAUGGCUGCUAUUAAAAAUUCAAAAAACAACAGAUGCUGGGGAAAUUGUGGAGAAGAAGGAACACUUUUACACUGCUGAUGGGAGUGUAAAUUAGUUCAACUCUUGUGGAAGACAGUGUGGUGAUUCCUCAAAGACCUAGAGGCAGGAAUACCAUUUGAUCCAAUGAUCCCAUUACUGGGUAUAUACCCAAAGGAAUACAAAUCAUUUUAUUAUAAAGAUACAUGCACACGUAUGUUCACUGCAGCACUAUUCACAAUAGCAAAGACAUGGAAUCAACUUAAAUGCCCAUCAAUAAUAGAUGGGAUAAAGAAAAUGUGGUACAUAUACACCAUGGAAUACUAUGCAGACAUAAAAAGGAAUGAGAUCGUGUCGUUUGCAGGGACAUGGAUGGAGCUAGAAGCCAUUAUCCUCAGAAAACUAACACAGGAACAGAAAACCAAAUACCACAUAUUCUCACUUACAAGUGGGAGCUGAAUGAUGAGAACACAUGGACACGUGGUGCGGGAACAGCACACCUGGAGCCUGUUGGGGGAUGGGGGCUGGGAGGAGGGAGAGCAUCAAGAAUAGGUAAUGAGGCCAUGCAUGGUGGCUCACGCCUGUAAUCCCAGCACUUUGGGAUGCUGAGGUGGGCAGAUCAUUUGAGAUCAGGAGUUCUAGACCAGCCUGGCCAACAUGGCAAAACCCGUCUCUAUUAAAAAAAAAGAAAAAAUCAGCCAGGCGUGGUGGCACAUGUCUGUAGUCCCUGCUACUAGGGAGGCUGAGGCAGGAGAAUCGCUUGAACCCGGAAGGCGGAGUUUGCAGUGAGCCAAGAUUGCACCACUGUACUUCAGCCUCAGCGACAGAGUGAGGCUCUGUUAAAAUACAAAAAAAAAAAAGAAUAGCGAAUGAGUGCUGGGCUUAAUAUCUAGAUGAUGGGAUGAUCUGUGCAGCAAACCACUAUGGCACACGUUUACCUAUGUAACAAACCUGCACAUCCUGCACAUGUACCCCUGAACUUAAGAGUUGGAAAUCAAAAAGAAAAAAGAUAUUAACUCAAAAUGAAAACAAUGAGUACUAUUUUUCUAAUCAGAAAAUGUUAUUUUAUUUUUUACUAUUAUUUUUAGAGUCGAUGUCAUCCCCUGUCACACAGACUGGAGUGCAGUGGCAUGAUUAGCUUUGAAUUCCUGUUCAAGUGAUCCUCCCACCUCAGCCUCCAGAGUAGCUAGGGCUACAGGCAGUGCUGCCACACCUGGAUAAUUUUUAAAUUUUUGUAGAGAUGGGGUCUUACUAUGUUGCCCAGGCUUGUCUCAAACUCCUGGCCUCAAGUGAUCCUCCUGCCUCUGUCUCCUGAGUCGCUGGAUUACAGGUAUGAGCCACCAGGCUCAGCAGAAAAUUAAAUGUGUGUGUGUGUGUGUGUUUUUAACAAGUCAUUAGUUCCUGGCAAUUCUAUUUCACUUCCAAAUCCACCUCAUUUUGCAGUGCCCUGUUCUUAGUAGUCCUGGUUUAGGAAGAGUCGUGUUUCACAUGAUCAAGGUAGCCAACACAAUGAAAGUUGAGUUCACAGAGUAUUUAUUUAUUUUGGUCCCUCACAGAGUAUCUAUUUAUUUUUGGUCCCUCACAGAGUAUUUAUUUAUUUUUCUUCCCUCAAAUAAUUCAGCACAAUUAAAUUCAGCAAAUAUUUAUUGAACACUUGGAGAUGAUGAUGGAAAAUUAUGUUCACGUAGUGCCAUCUAGUACAAUGGAAAUGGCAUGGGAUUUGGACUGAACCAGAAUUGUCUUAAAUCCUGGCUUUGUUAGUUUUAGGUAUGUCAUCUUGAGCAGUUCACUUCACUUUUUGAGCCACAAUUUCUCUUCCUUACAUAAAGAUAUUUAUAAAUACCCCACAGGUUGUUAUAAUAAAGGUUGAAGGUGCUUGGCACAUAAGCAAAAAUUAUGAAUAAAUAUGUAUUAAAAUAUAUAAUAACUACAAAAUAAAAUAAAAAUAUUGUUUUUCU
rnacentral:lncRNA from 10 species